GUAUACAGCCAUACCACCCUGUACAAGCCUGAUCUUCUCUGAUCUCGAAAACUAAGCAGGGUCGGGUCUGGUUAGUACUUGGAUGGGAGAAAAGGUACAAAACAACUUUUGAAAUAUUUU
rfam:Erinaceus europaeus unplaced genomic scaffold scaffold00640, whole genome shotgun sequence